rnacentral:rRNA from 1 species
UACAGAGGGGGCAAGCGUUGUUCGGAAUUACUGGGCGUAAAGGGCGCGUAGGCGGUCUUGUAAGUUCCGUGUGAAAUCCCUCGGCUCAACUGAGGAACCGCACGGAAAACUGCUUGGCUUGAGUUCGGGAGAGGGAAGCGGAAUUCCGGGUGUAGCGGUGAAAUGCGUAGAUAUCCGGAGGAACACCGGUGGCGAAGGCGGCUUCCUGGACCGACACUGACGCUGAGGCGCGAAAGCUAGGGGAGCAAACGGG